AUAUAUAAAUGCACAGUGGAUCGGUGUAAGAUGGUAUAAAUGUGAAAU
rnacentral:guide_RNA from 1 species